rnacentral:rRNA from 1 species
UACGGAGGGUGCAAGCGUUAUCCGGAUUUAUUGGGUUUAAAGGGUCCGUAGGCGGAUGUGUAAGUCAGUGGUGAAAUCUCAUAGCUCAACUAUGAAACUGCCAUUGAUACUGCAUGUCUUGAGUAAGGUAGAAGUGGCUGGAAUAAGUAGUGUAGCGGUGAAAUGCAUAGAUAUUACUUAGAACACCAAUUGCGAAGGCAGGUCACUAUGUCUUAACUGACGCUGAUGGACGAAAGCGUGGGGAGCGAAC